rnacentral:rRNA from 1 species
GGCCGCAGUAUUUUAACUGUGCAAAGGUAGCAUAAUCAUUAGUCUUUUAAUUGAAGGCUAGAAUGAAUGGUUGGAUGAAAUAUAAACUGUUUCUUAAAAAUUUUUAUUAGAAUUUUAUUUUUUAGUUAAAAAGCUUAAAUUUAUUUAAAAGACGAGAAGACCCUAUAAAUCUUUAUAUUUAAAAUAUUUUAAUUUUUUAGAUUUUUUUUAUUGUAAUAAUAAUAAAUAUUUUGUUGGGGUGAUAUUAAAAUUUAAUAAACUUUUAAUUUAAUGUUUCAUUAAUUUAUGAAUAAUUGAUCCAUUAAUAAUGAUUAAAAAUUUAAGUUACUUUAGGGAUAACAGCGUAAUUUUUUUGGAGAGUUCAUAUUAAUAAAAAAGAUUGCGACCUCGAUGUUGGAUU